rnacentral:rRNA from 1 species
AAUAUUGGACAAUGGGUGCAACCCUGAUCCAGCCAGGCCGCGCGUGUGAAUAAGGACUUCGGAUUGUAAAGCACUUUAAGUUGGGAGGAAGGUCUUUAGGCUAAUACGCUGCAAUUUUGACUUUACCAACAGAAUAAGCACCUGCUAACUUCGUGCCAUCAGACGCGGUAAUACGAAGGGUGCAAGCGUUACUCGGAAUUACUGGGCGUAAAGCGCGCGUAGGUGGUUUGUCAAGUUGGAAGUGAAAGCCCCGGGCUCAACCUGGGAACUGCUUUCAAAACUGGCAAGCUAGAGUAUGGCAGAAGGUGGUGGAAUUUCCUGUGGAGCGGUGAAAUGCGUAGAUAUAGGAAGGAACACCAGUGGCGAAGGCGACUACCUGGACUGAUACUGACACUGAGGUGCGAAAGCGUGGGGAGCAAAC